rnacentral:misc_RNA from 1 species
AGCCUAUCUGGAAAGCCCCUUUUUGCUUGUCGCAGUAAAACCAAAACAAUGCAUAUUUAUGUAAAAUUGUUCAAAGGAAACGAUUUUCAAGUAGCCGUAAGUGUGAAAUUACAUGAGUAUAAUCCACAUUUCAUUGAUUAAAUAAUUAUCCGAUUAUUUAUUUAUUUAUUAAAUUAAGGCGGAGCGGAAUACCAUGUUUAAUGUUAGACACGUUACGGUUAGGCCAAACAUUGUUGUAAGCGCGAAUUUCCUCCAAGAGGUUUCAAGUUUAAGUUUAUGUUAGUUUUUAUAAUCUAAGAUGAAUGUAAGGACUAUUGUUGUUGCAUUAUUUGGGGGUAACUUUGAUUUCAUCUUUAAAUCUAACAUACAUGUAGGUAUCAGGAGAAAACGUACCC